GAUCAUGGCUCAGGAUGAACGCUAGCUACAGGCUUAACACAUGCAAGUCGAGGGGCAGCAUCAUCAAGCUUGCUUUGAUGGAUGGCGACCGGCGCACGGGUGAGUAACACGUAUCCAACCUGCCGACACACUGGGAUAGCCUUUACGAAAGAAAGAUUAAUACCGGAUGGCAUAUAUUCCGCUAUGGAUAAUUAUUAAAGAAUUUCGGUUGUCGAUGGGGAUGCGUUCCUA
rnacentral:rRNA from 1 species